rnacentral:miRNA from 2 species
AACCCUGUGGAUCCGAUCUUGUG